rnacentral:rRNA from 1 species
UAAGGAAUAUUGGUCAAUGGGCGGAAGCCUGAACCAGCCAUGCCGCGUGCAGGAAGACGGCCCUACGGGUUGUAAACUGCUUUUGUACGGGAAUAACCCCUAUUAUGUAUAAUAGGUUGAAUGUACCGUAAGAAUAAGGAUCGGCUAACUCCGUGCCAGCAGCCGCGGUAAUACGGAGGAUCCGAGCGUUAUCCGGAAUUAUUGGGUUUAAAGGGUGCGUAGGCGGCCCGGUAAGUCAGGGGUGAAAGACGGUGGCUCAACCAUCGCAGUGCCUUUGAUACUGCCGGGCUUGAAUAUACUUGAGGUGGGCGGAAUGUGACAAGUAGCGGUGAAAUGCAUAGAUAUGUCACAGAACGCCGAUUGCGAAGGCAGCUCACUAAGGUAAGAUUGACGCUGAGGC